rnacentral:rRNA from 1 species
UACGGAGGGUGCAAGCGUUGCUCGGAAUCACUGGGCGUAAAGCGACCGCAGGCGGCCUGACAAGUCGGAUGUGAAAGCCCUGGGCUCAACUCAGGAAUUGCAUUCGAAACUGGUAGGCUCGAGUACGGGAGAGGGGGGUGGAAUUCCUGGUGUAGGGGUGAAAUUCGUUGAUAUGGGGAGGAACACCGGUGGCGAAGGCGGCCAUCUGGACGGUAACUGACGCUGAGACGCGAAAGCGUGGGGAGCAAACAGG